rnacentral:lncRNA from 1 species
UGUAUAAGAUCUUAUCUUAAAAUAUCACAUCAUUAUCUUUGAUAUUAAAAUAUAUACUUUAGAUCUGAAAAUAAAAAUCACAUCGAUCCCAUCGAUGCUGAAAUUCUAGAUCUAACUAUUAGAUCUACCAUAGAAAUCAAAAUAAGUUAGAGAUCGUUAUCAAACAAAUUUGAUCUUGAUCUCUUCUAGUCCAAUGGUUAGAAAAGGUAUUUUUUAGAUCACUCACAGCCACACGAAGUUGUUUGGCCUCUAUAGAAAGAUCCACAUGAAGAUAGGUGC